CAGUCGCCGCGGUAAUACAGAGGGUGCGAGCGUUAAUCGGAUUUACUGGGCGUAAAGCGUGCGUAGGCGGCUUCUUAAGUCGGAUGUAAAAUCCCUGAGCUUAACUUAGGAAUUGCAUUCGAUACUGGGAAGCUAGAGUAUGGGAGAGGAUGGUAGAAUUCCAGGUGUAGCGGUGAAAUGCGUAGAGAUCUGGAGGAAUACCGAUGGCGAAGGCAGCCAUCUGGCCUAAUACUGACGCUGAGGUACGAAAGCAUGGGGAGCAAACAGGAUUAGAGACCCCCGUAGUCCCUGUCUCUUAUAA
rnacentral:rRNA from 1 species